rnacentral:rRNA from 1 species
GCAAGUCGAACGAGAAAGCACUUUGGUGUGAGUACAGUGGCGGACGGGUGAGUAACGCGUAGGAAUCUACCUUUUAGUGGGGGACAACUCGGGGAAACUCGAGCUAAUACCGCAUACGACCUUCGGGUGAAAGUGGGGGAUCUUCGGACCUCACGCUAUUAGAGGAGCCUGCGUUAGAUUAGCUUGUUGGUGAGGUAAAGGCUCACCAAGGCUACGAUCUAUAGCUGGUCUGAGAGGACGAUC